rnacentral:rRNA from 1 species
CCUACGGGAGGCAGCAGGGGGGAAUAGUGCGCAAUGGGCGAAAGCCUGACGCAGCGACGCCGCGUGAGGGAUGAAGGUCGUCGGAUAGGAAACCUCUGUCAGCAGGGAAGAACGGUCACUGUGCUAAUCAGCAGUGAAUUGACGGUACCUGCAAAGGAAGCACCGGCUAACUCCGUGCCAGCAGCCGCGGUAAUACGGAGGGUGCGAGCGUUAAUCGGAAUUACUGGGCGUAAAGCGCUCGUAGGCGGUAUGUCAAGUCAAGGGUGAAAUCCCCGCGCUCAACGUGGGAACUGCCUUUGAAACUGGCAAACUGGAGUGUGUGAGAGGAUAGUGGAAUUCCAGGUGUAGGGGUGAAAUCCGUAGAUAUCUGGAGGAACAUCAGUGGCGAAGGCGACUCUCUGGCACAUAACUGACGCUGAGGAGCGAAAGCGUGGGUAGCAAACAGGAUUAGAUACCCUAGUAGUC